rnacentral:rRNA from 1 species
UACAGAGGCCCCAAGCGUUACUGAGAAUCACUGGGUUUAAAGGGUGCGUAGGUGGUCCGUUAAGUUCGUUGUGAAAGCCCUGGGCUCAACCCAGGAACUGCUUCGAAUACUGGCGGACUUGAGGCUAGUAGGGGUUACUGGAACUGACGGUGGAGCGGUGAAAUGCGUAGAUAUCGUCAGGAACGCCAAUGGUGAAGACAGGUAACUGGGCUAGUUCUGACACUGAGGCACGAAAGCGUGGGGAGCGAACGGGAUUAGAUACCCCGGUAGUCCACGCCCUAAACGAUGCAGACUAGACUGCAGCGGGUUACACCCCGUUGCGGUCGGAGCGAAAUUGUUAAGUCUGCCACCUGGGAAGUACGGUCGCAAGGCUAAA